GUCAGGGGGUUCUUUCCCACAUGGUUUCAUGGAACGGGAGUACAGAUACAGUACUAGAGUACAUCAGAGGUCAUCCUGAUAUCAUCUCUUAAGCACCAGUCUCAGCCUUUAUCUUUAGAGUUCAUCAUUGAAGUUUUUUUUGAGUGCAUUACACUGCCUGCAUUGUUUGAAAAGAAGCUUGGCCCCUUACACAGAUGUAAAACAAGAGGGUUAGCUACCUGCUGGAUUGUAUGCCUUCUAACAUCCUGAAGGAGCAUUGCAUGUUUUCAUGAAUGCGUGAUGUGUCUCUCUAUUAACAGUACCGCUUAUAACUCAUUUUGGUUACCUGGGACACAUACAUUGUGGGAUGACUUCUGUGCUACCACCUGUCUUGCUGCAAAGUUGCUUUGUGUCUGGCCUUAAUAUUGAUUGUGUGAAGUUUCAGUCCUGUACCAUUCUAGUGCCAUCCAUGUCCAGCUCACUUGAGCAUCAGCAUCACUGAUUUCUAGUGUCCUUCAUCCUUUCUUCUGCGCCU